AUACGGAGGAUGCAAGCGUUAUCCGGAUUUAUUGGGUUUAAAGGGUGCGUAGGCGGUUUGCUAAGCGGGAGGUGAAAUGCCGGCGCUCAACGUCGGAAGUGCCUCCCGAACUGGUGGACUUGAAUGACUCUGCCGUGGGAGGAAUGUGUAGUGUAGCGGUGAAAUGCUUAGAGAUUACACAGAACACCGAUUGCGAAGGCAUCUCACGAAGGGUUGAUUGACGCUGAGGCACGAAAGCGUGGGGAUCAAACGGGAUUAGAUACCCUGGUAGUCCACGCAGUAAACGAUGAUGGCUAACCGCUGGGCUUAUCAGUUCAGUGGCCAAGCGAAAGCGAUAAGCCAUCCACCUGGGGAGUACGACCGCAAGGUUGAAACUCAAAGGAAUUGACGGGG
rnacentral:rRNA from 1 species